rnacentral:rRNA from 1 species
AUAUAUAUAUAUAUCACGCUGAGAGCACCGAUUCUCGUCCGAUCACCGAAGUUAAGCAACGUCGAGCCUAGUGAGUCCUUAG